rnacentral:rRNA from 1 species
CCUAGCCCUUCAGAGGGGGACAACAGUUGGAAACGACUGCUAAUACCGCAUACGAUCCAACCUCGGCAUCGAGGAUGGAUGAAAGGUGGCCUCUAUUUAUAAGCUAUCACUGAAGGAGGGGAUUGCGUCUGAUUAGCUAGUUGGAGGGGUAACGGCCCACCAAGGCAAUGAUCAGUAGCCGGUCUGAGAGGAUGAACGGCCACAUUGGGACUGAGGCACGGCCCAG